rnacentral:misc_RNA from 1 species
GCUCAGAAAGUGGCAUAUUUUAUUUUUUAUACAUAAAAAAAUCUCCAACUUCGCGCACCAGGAAGAAUUCACAUUCCACCACUCAAUACUCGACAUAUGCACUAUCGUGGAGUACCCAGCACCAAGAAAUUUACUUUUCCCUUUUUUUUCUUGUACAAAUGUAGUUCUACAAAAACACAUAUCAAGCACAAGAAAUACCCUCCAAGCCAAUUCCAUUUUGGUCAUUUAGUUCAGGAGAAAUUAAUUUGUAUGAACUGGUAAUUCCUUUUUUUUUUUUUUCCAAAAAGAAAAAUUCAAGCAUCAGUAACCAGAUCUUCGUAAGUAUGCUAGUACACCUAACCCAGCAACCAGAGC